rnacentral:tRNA from 1 species
UCUAAUGUGACAGAAUUUAUGUAAUGAAUUUAAAAUUCAUAAAUAAAGAUUAAUCUUUCUUUAGAA